rfam:Triticum aestivum genome assembly, contig: Triticum_aestivum_CS42_TGACv1_scaffold_149161_2BS
UUUGUAUUCCCUCCGUCCCAAAAAUCUUGUCUUAAAUUUGUCUAAAUACGGAUGUAUCUAGUACAUUUUAGUGUUAGAUACAUUCGUAUCUAAACAAAUGUAAGACAAGAAUUUUGGGACGGAGGGAAUACUAC